rnacentral:lncRNA from 1 species
CUGGUAACUCUAUUUCGAAACUCUACCAAAAUUUUCGUUCAAGCACUCCAUUUCUGUUGAAGCAGAGUACUGACUUGAGCAUCGGAGGGUCUUGUCGGAGCACCCCCAACUCCGGUUUAGAUUUUUUUUACAGGUCCCGGUGGUGGCCGCGGUCAUCCCAGCUCCAGCUUCUCCAACUUCGAUGGAAUUCUGCACCAACAGAAUUGGCGCUAGAGGAAGGGCGCUGUGUGUCU